rnacentral:rRNA from 1 species
AGCUGGGGAGAAUCGGAUGUAACUUUUUCUGUAGAUGUUCGUGGAUAUAUUAUUUGCCUGAUUCUGAGUCUGUAUGA